UAGGGAAUAUUGCACAAUGGGCGAAAGCCUGAUGCAGCAACGCCGCGUGCGUGAUGAAGGUCUUCGGAUCGUAAAGCGCUUUUCUGGGAGAUGAGAAAGGACAGUAUCCCAGGAAUAAGUCUCGGCUAACUACGUGCCAGCAGCCGCGGUAAAACGUGGAGGCAAGCGUUAUCCGGAUUCACUGGACGUAAAGCGCGUGCAGGCGGUGCGGUAAGUUAGGCGUGAAAUCUCCCGGCUCAACUGGGAGAGGUCGUCUAAUACUACCGUACUCGAGAGUAGAAGAGGAAGAUGGAAUUCCCGGUGUAGUGGUGAAAUGCGUAGAUAUCGGGAGGAACACCAGUGGCGAAGGCGAUCUUCUGGUCUAUUUCUGACGCUCAGACGCGACAGCUAGGGUAGUAAACGGGAUUAGAGACCCCGGUAAUCCUAGCCGUAAACGAUGUGAACUUGGCGUUGGUGGGUUAAACUCCGAUCAGUGCCGUAGCAAACGC
rnacentral:rRNA from 1 species